rnacentral:rRNA from 1 species
CCUGCACCUGCCGGCGACCGGCGCACCGGGUGAGUAACACGUAUGGAACCUGCCCGCCACAGGGGGAUAACCCGGGGAAACCCGGCCUAAGUACCCCAUGCCGCCCGGACCGGGCAUCCGGUCCGGGCGAAAGGAGGAAUCCGGUGGCGGCUGGGCAUGCGGCGCAUUAGCUUGACGGCGGGGUAACGGCCCACCGUGGCGACGAUGCGUAGGGGUUCUGAGAGGAAGGCCCCCCACACUGGAACUGAGACACGGUCCAGACUCCUACGGGAGGCAGCAG